UUUUAUGGUGGCUGUGCGUGUGGGCACGCUUGCGUGCGCCGGAGCUUUUCGUGAUUUUACCGCCGGUCUGUCAACCCACGUACAGCUGCCACCCCA
ncrna:Pseudomonas putida W619 C4 antisense RNA